GGGCGUGUGGCUCAGUUGGUAGAGCGUUCGCUUAGCAAGUUCCAAGAAGGUUUCUUCUGAACCUGAUUCCUUGCGAAAGGUCCUGGGUUCGAUUCCCAGCCCGUCCA